rnacentral:rRNA from 1 species
GACGAACGCUGGCGGCGUGGAUUAGGCAUGCAAGUCGAACGGUAUCAUCCUUUCGGGGGUGAGAGAGUGGCGAACUGGUGAGUAACACGUAGGUUAUCUACCCUCAAGACGGGGACAACCCAGGGAAACUUGGGCUAAUACCGGAUGUGAGCAACUUUUAGUUGUUUGAAAGGUGGCGUAAGCUGUCGCUUGGGGAUGAGCCUGCGUCCUAUUAGUUAGUUGGUGAGGUAACGGCUCACCUAGGCAAUGAUAGGUAGGCGGCCUUAACGGGUGGUCGCCCACACUGGGAUUGAGAUACGGCCCAGACUCCUACGGGAGGCAGCAGUCGAGAAUAGUCUACAAUGGUCGGAAGACUGAUAGUGCGACGCCGCGUGAACGAUGAAUCCCUUCGGGGUUAAAGUUCUUUUAUAUGUGAGCAGUGCUUCUUAUAUUAACAGUUAUGGGGGAAGAGAUAUUAGCAUAUGAAUAAGCAACGGCUAACUCCGUGCCAGCAGCCGGGUAAAA